ensembl:lncRNA
GUCCAGAUUACCUGAGCAGCGAAUGCAUUCUCAAUUUUAUUCUAUUAUAUUCUUGGUUUUAAGAGGUGCCCACUCACCCCUCAGCCAAGAUGAAUCUGGAGGUGAAGUCUUCUGGGACCAGCAAGCCGCAUUAUGGCCUGGAAUUAUCCUCUGACUUUUGACACACCCGGAGCCUUUCUGCCGGCAUGGUGUGUCUCCCUUGUCCCAGAAAGGGUGGCGGAGGGAAGCGGAGAUCCCUUAAUCCUUUAUUCAAACAGUGUUUUGCCCCUCUUUGUCCUUGCCAUGAUGAUUAUCUUAAGGUGUUUACAAGAGACAAAGACAGGCUAUUUACCCUGUAUCUGUUGUUACUUCCGUUUCUGAGGGCAAACAGGAGGCUGAUUGUAAAGGCCUAAACUGGAGCCCACCUAUCUCCUGUCUCAGGAAAUGCUAACAGAAGGCUAGUUGUAAGGAUCCAGCCUGAAGCCCACUUCUUCCUGCCCCAUGAAAUGCAAAAAGGAGGCAAGUUGUAAACGUCCAAACUGGAGCUCGACUGUCUCCUACCUCAUUCCCAGUUUGUUCUGCUGCAUGGUCCUGCAAGGAGCACCACUGAGGCACGCCUUAAGGCUGAGGGUCAUGUGAGCUGGCUCAACACCCAGGCCACCACCGCCACCAUCGCGAGUUCUACUAGCUCCCUAGCCCCUAUUUUCAGAGACUUUACCUGACUUUGGGAGUAUAUUUUCAUUUGUAUGACUGUGAUAGAAUGUCCUUUUUUUUUUUUUUUGGAAUUCUUUAUUGGAUUUGUUACAAUAUUGCUUCUGUUUUUGUGUGUGUGUGUGUUUUUUUAAUGUUUUGACUUUUU